rnacentral:rRNA from 1 species
ACGUACGCUGGCGGCACGCCUAACACAUGCAAGUCGAACGAAGUAGCAAUACUUAGUGGCAGACGGGUGAGUAACAUGUAGGUAUCUGCCCUUUGGCCUGGAAUAACACGAGGAAACUUGUGCUAAUACCGGAUAAGUCUUUACGGAGAAAGCUUUAUGCACCAUUGGAUGAGCCUGCACUUGAUUAGUUUGUUGGUGGGGUAAUGGCCUACCAAGACUGUGAUCAAUAGCUGAUUUGAGAGGAUGAUCAGCCACAUUGGGACUGGGACACGGCCCAAACUCCUACGGGAGGCAGCAGUGGGGAAUCUUGCACAAUGGAGGAAACUCUGAUGCAGCGAUGCCGCGUGAGUGAAGAAGGCCCUUGGGUUGUAAAGCUCUUUCGUCGGGGAAGAAAAUGACUGUACCCGAAUAAGAAGGUCCGGCUAACUUCGUGCCAGCAGCCGCGGUAAUACGAAGGGACCUAGCGUAGUUCGGAAUUACUGGGCUUAAAGAGUUCGUAGGUGGUUGAAAAAGUUAGUGGUGAAAUCCCAGAGCUUAACUCUGGAACUGCCAUUAAAACUUUUCAGCUAGAGUAUGAUAGAGGAAAGCAGAAUUUCUAGUGUAGAGGUGAAAUUCGUAGAUAUUAGAAAGAAUACCAAUUGCGAAGGCAGCUUUCUGGAUCAUUACUGACACUGAGGAACGAAAGCAUGGGUAGCGAAGAGGAUUAGAUACCCUCGUAGUCCAUGCCGUAAACGAUGUGUGUUAGACGUUGGAAAUUUAUUUUCAGUGUCGCAGGGAAACCGAUAAACACACCGCCUGGGGAGUACGACCGCAAGGUUAAAACUCAAAUGAAUUGACGGGGACCCGCACAAGUAGUGGAGCAUGUGGUUUAAUUCGAAGAUACGCGCAGAACCUUACCAACACUCGACAUGUUCGUCGCGACUCUAAGAGAUUAGAGUUUUCGGUUCGGCCGGACGAAACACAGGUGCUGCAUGGCUGUCGUCAGCUCGUGUCGUGAGAUGUUGGGUUAAGUCCCGCAACGAGCGCAACCCUCACUUUUAGUUGCCAUCAUUAAGUUGGGCACUCUGAAAGAACUGCCAGUGAUAAGCUGGAGGAAGGUGGGGAUGACGUCAAGUCCUCAUGGCCCUUACGUGUUGGGCUACACACAUGCUACAAUGGUAUCUACAACAGGAAGCAAGACUGCGAAGUUAAGCAAAUCCCUAAAAGAUACCUCAGUUCGGAUUGCACUCUGCAACUCGAGUGCAUGAAGCUGGAAUUACUAGUAAUCGUGGAUCAGCGUGCCACGGUGAAUGCGUUCCCGGGUCUUGCACUCACCGCC